rnacentral:ncRNA from 1 species
GACUGGGAAAGAAAAGUCUGUUGAGCUUGAUUUUAAUCCAGUUUUGUGAGGUAUAGGCAGUAGCAUUCACAUUGCUGCAUGCUAGCCACCAUUACUGGAUGGUGUCACUCAUAGCUCAUGUUGACAGCAGUACCCAGCCAGUUUGGUGUCAGGGUAUUUAUGUGUUUCCCUAGUUUCCACAUUCACCCAACGGAGAAGGGCUUGGGCUAUCACCAAGCAGUAGCUCAUUAUAUGGUGCAAAGCACAUGGUGCAUGUCAAUGCCUUGAUGGGCACUGAUGCAGCCAAUGUGCAACCUUUAGCCAAAAAUAGAAUCAAUUAGGAAGUUUGAUUGGGCAGUACAUCUGUCAAACAGAAAAGCAGGUGUCUCAAGGUCAGCUCAGAGGGCACAGAAACCACAUAUUGAGCAAAUGGGCAAAAGCAUACUCAAUCUUGAUUUCCAGUACAAAUACAAACUGCAAAUGUGUGGCCUGUCAAUCCUUUCCUAACAGCAACAAGCUAUGCAUCCACAGAAGGGUAGCAGAAAUGUUACCAAAGGACAACUGGCUUGUGACAGCCAAGCUUUCAGUAAUGUUGCCUUCUGAUCUAAUGAUGUCAGCUCUUCCUAUCAUGGUGAUGCAGAGUUCACAAAGCAUUGGAUUGGUAACCCACAAACAGACAGGUUAAUUUUAUCCUAUC